CAUGCAAGUAGAACGCUGAAGAGAGGAGCUUGCUCUUCUUGGAUGAGUUGCGAACGGGUGAGUAACGCGUAGGUAACCUGCCUUGUAGCGGGGGAUAACUAUUGGAAACGAUAGCUAAUACCGCAUAACAAUGGAUGACACAUGUCAUUUAUUUGAAAGGGGCAAUUGCUCCACUACAAGAUGGACCUGCGUUGUAUUAGCUAGUAGGUGAGGUAAUGGCUCACCUAGGCGACGAUACAUAGCCGACCUGAGAGGGUGAUCGGCCACACUGGGACUGAGACACGGCCCAGACUCCUACGGGAGGCAGCAGUAGGGAAUCUUCGGCAAUGGGGGCAACCCUGACCGAGCAACGCCGCGUGAGUGAAGAAGGUUUUCGGAUCGUAAAGCUCUGUUGUAAGUCAAGAACGGGUGUGAGAGUGGAAAGUUCACACUGUGACGGUAGCUUACCAGAAAGGGACGGCUAACUACGUGCCAGCAGCCGCGGUAAUACGUAGGUCCCGAGCGUUGUCCGGAUUUAUUGGGCGUAAAGCGAGCGCAGGCGGUUUGAUAAGUCUGAAGUUAAAGGCUGUGGCUCAACCAUAGUUCGCUUUGGAAACUGUCAAACUUGAGUGCAGAAGGGGAGAGUGGAAUUCCAUGUGUAGCGGUGAAAUGCGUAGAUAUAUGGAGGAACACCGGUGGCGAAAGCGGCUCUCUGGUCUGUAACUGACGCUGAGGCUCGAAAGCGUGGGGAGCGAACAGGAUUAGAUACCCUGGUAGUCCACGCCGUAAACGAUGAGUGCUAGGUGUUGGAUCCUUUCCGGGAUUCAGUGCCGCAGCUAACGCAUUAAGCACUCCGCCUGGGGAGUACGACCGCAAGGUUGAAACUCAAAGGAAUUGACGGGGGCCCGCACAAGCGGUGGAGCAUGUGGUUUAAUUCGAAGCAACGCGAAGAACCUUACCAGGUCUUGACAUCCCGAUGCUAUUUCUAGAGAUAGAAAGUUACUUCGGUACAUCGGUGACAGGUGGUGCAUGGUUGUCGUCAGCUCGUGUCGUGAGAUGUUGGGUUAAGUCCCGCAACGAGCGCAACCCCUAUUGUUAGUUGCCAUCAUUCAGUUGGGCACUCUAGCGAGACUGCCGGUAAUAAACCGGAGGAAGGUGGGGAUGACGUCAAAUCAUCAUGCCCCUUAUGACCUGGGCUACACACGUGCUACAAUGGUUGGUACAACGAGUUGCGAGUCGGUGACGGCGAGCUAAUCUCUUAAAGCCAAUCUCAGUUCGGAUUGUAGGCUGCAACUCGCCUACAUGAAGUCGGAAUCGCUAGUAAUCGCGGAUCAGCACGCCGCGGUGAAUACGUUCCCGGGCCUUGUACACACCGCCCGUCACACCACGAGAGUUUGUAACACCCGAAGUCGGUGAGGUAACCUU
rnacentral:rRNA from 1 species